ensembl:snRNA U2 U2 spliceosomal RNA
AUCACUUCUUGGCUUUCUGGCUAAGAUCAAGUGUAGUAUCGGUUUUAUUUAUUUCUUGUUAUUUCUUAUCAGUGUAGGGUACAUCCUCCAGCAAUGGAGUGUUUGGUUUUAGUGUAUCACACAUUUAACAGAGAUGCACUGCCUACCUGUGAAAAUGGCACAUGG